UCCUGAGAACUCAGUGGCCACCUGGUGGGCUAUUGCUAAAGGAAGGCCAAGUGGACAGAGACCUGUAGAUGUUCAAGCCCAUCCUUCCUAAGAGAGCCCGAGCUCUUCAAGGGCCAGGACCAGGUGUAGAUGGAUUCUGGAAUCCUUUCUCCGAGGACGGGUCCUGCUACAGAGGAAGUGCCCAUCAAAUCCAAAACCAAGUGAACAACCCAAGCAAAUCAAGAUCCCUAAGAGAGGGCUCCGCUCUCUUCCAAGACACCUCCAGGCUGAGGGAGGGGUAUGCAUAGGAUGCUCCACCAGACUGGGCCAGCAGGGUAAGGCACCCAGACUGAGGCAAUAAAAACCCAGAUCCGUGCUUCAUCUCGAAAGUCAGCGUUUUAUUAUGGAGGGCCAGGGCCCGGGGAGGGAGGGUGUUGAGCUAAAGCAGCAUUGCUCUCUUUCCAGGAAAUGUUGCGAGCUGCAGCCAGAGCUCGAGACGUUGCAUUUCUUUUUUUCAACUCAAGCAUGUGUUUUUCAAAAAUAUCAUUCUUCCCCACCCCCCACCCCCCCGCCACUAAUUUUAGAAUCAGACCAAAGCCAAGUUACUGUCCUCUGUGUCUUUUGGGAAAAUACUAUAUUUAUUCGAGAUGCAGACGUGUGUCUCUGCAAACCUCCCAUUGCUUCAGGAAAACAAAUCUGCUUUAGACUAUACAGAAACCAUGAUACAAAAUUUAUUUCAUGCUAGAAUCGCUUUGCAUAACAUUGGGCAUGCAGUUUUUACUCUGAAGUACUAAAGUGCAUACAAUGCCAGGUUGUGCCUUAGUUAAGGAGGAGGGCCGCCCCUCCCGUGGUCCUGAUCUUUCGGUGCUCUAAAGAGACACGUGGGAAAUCCAUACGAUGUUGGUUAUUUACUAUGAACGAUUUGUUAUGAAAGUUGGUCACGCUGGAUCUACACACCGGAAGAGAUGAUAGAAUCGACCUAGACUAGCCGCUGCCAGGGGUCUCGGGCGACGUCCGCGGGGUCACAAGCAUGCCAGACAGGGAAGAAGGCGGCAGUGCGAGUUUCCACACUUCUAUUUGGAGCAAAGUUCUCAGUUUCCACGUGAGAGAUGAUUAUGAAGGUGAGGUCAAUAUGACCGAUGGAUGACUGACCGACUGCCCUUUCGGGAACCCUUUCUCUCGAUCUCAUGUACAAAAAAGGGAAGCAAUGUGUUCCCGUCCUCCCCUCCCUCCUCCCCAGAAAUGUACAGGUUUCUACCGAACGCCCUUACAGUCUGGCUCCAACGAGUGUAAAAGUAAAGAGCUUUGAA